rnacentral:rRNA from 1 species
GUGGGGAAUCUUGCGCAAUGGGCGAAAGCCUGACGCAGCCAUGCCGCGUGAAUGAUGAAGGUCUUAGGAUUGUAAAAUUCUUUCACCGGGGACGAUAAUGACGGUACCCGGAGAAGAAGCUCCGGCUAACUUCGUGCCAGCAGCCGCGGUAAUACGAAGGGGGCUAGCGUUGCUCGGAAUUACUGGGCGUAAAGGGCGCGUAGGCGGACAGCUUAGUCAGAGGUGAAAGCCCAGGGCUCAACCUUGGAAUUGCCUUCAAUACUGGCUGUCUUGAGUAUGAGAGAGGUGUGUGGAACUCCGAGUGUAGAGGUGAAAUUCGUAGAUAUUCGGAAGAACACCAGUGGCGAAGGCGACACACUGGCUCAUUACUGACGCUGAGGCGCGAAAGCGUGGGGAGCAAACAGGAUUAGAAACCCGUGUAGUCC